UGAUGCAGCCAUGCCGCGUGUGUGAUGAAGGCCUUAGGGUUGUAAAACACUUUCAUCGGUGAAGAUAAUGACGGUAGCCGAAGAAGAAGCCCCGGCUAACUCCGUGCCAGCAGCCGCGGUAAUACGGAGGGGGCAAGCGUUGUUCGGAAUUACUGGGCGUAAAGCGCACGUAGGCGGACUGGUCAGUUGGGGGUGAAAUCCCGAGGCUUAACCUCGGAACUGCCUUCAAUACUGCCAGUCUUGAGAUCGGAAGAGGUGAGUGGAAUUCCUAGUGUAGAGGUGAGAUUCGUAGAUAUUAGGAAGAACACCAGUGGCGAAGGCGGCUCACUGGUCCGAUACUGACGCUGAGGUGCGAAAGCGUGGGGAGCGAACAGGAUU
rnacentral:rRNA from 1 species